rnacentral:rRNA from 1 species
UACGGGGGGAGCAAGCGUUGUUCGGAUUUACUGGGCGUAAAGGGCGCGUAGGCGGUCGUGACAAGUCACUUGUGAAAUCUCCGGGCUUAACUCGGAACGGUCAAGUGAUACUGUCGGACUAGAGUACAGAAGGGGCAACUGGAAUUCUCGGUGUAGCGGUGAAAUGCGUAGAUAUCGAGAGGAACACCUGCGGCGAAGGCGGGUUGCUGGGCCGACACUGACGCUGAUGCGCGAAAGCGUGGGGAGCAAACAGG